AUGAUGUCAUAUUCAUCUCAAUCACCCCCUGAUUAUUCUUCUACUCCAAUGGGAAAUGAAAAUAUUCCGAAUGUUGGACUUGAUAAAUUUCCUGAAUUUUCUACACAAAUGGCUCUUGGUGCCAUGACUGGUGGUCAAAGAGCCACUCUAAAUGCAGAGGAUUCAAAUCUUGUACGUCGGAAAAGUCCCAAAUGGACCACUGAUCAAAAUUGGUUCUAA